rnacentral:rRNA from 1 species
CCAAUAGCGUAUAUUAAAGUUGUUGCAGUUAAAAAGCUCGUAGUUGAAUUUCGGGAUCAAUACGUCGGUCGUGCCUUCGGUACGUACUGGUAUCAUUGGUUUCUCCUUUCUGACGAACCAUGAUGUCAUUAAUUUGGUGUUAUGGGGAGUUAGGACUGUUACUUUGAAAAAAUUAGAGUGUUUAAAGCAGGCUUUAGCUUGAAUACAUUAGCAUGGAAUAAUGAAAUAGGACGUUCGAACCUAUUUUGUUGGUUUCUAGGAUCAACGUAAUGAUUAAUAGGGAUAGUUGGGGGCAUUAGUAUUCAAUUGUCAGAGGUGAAAUUCUUGGAUUUAUUGAAGACUAACUACUGCGAAAGCAGUUGCCAAGGAUGUUGUCAUUAAGCAAGAACGAAAGUUAGGGGAUCGAAGACGAUCUGAUACCGUCGUAGUCUUAACCAUAAACUAGGCCGACUAGGGAUCGGAUGAUGUUAAUUUUUUAAUGACUCAUUCGGCGCCUUACG